CUCCCCUUGUGCUCUAUCUCCCUCUGUCUCUCAAAAAUAAAUAAACGUAAAAAAAAUUUUUUUUAAAAAUCAUAACGAAGAGAACAUACGUUUGCAGUGACGUAUGGUAUUUAUCGAAAAAAAAAAAAAAAAAACCUGUGUGUAAGUGGACACAUUCAGCUCAAACCCAGCUGUUCAAGCGUCUGCGGAACUUGGGAUUUGCUUUCCUCCUUUUAUGAGUGAGGUGAACGUCUUUUCCUGAACUUGAAGGUCACUUCCAACUCGCGUUUGUCAGCUCUUCAUGUCUUAGCCCGCUUUCCUGUGGGUUUCUUGUCCAUUUUCCUCUCUCUUCUCUGUAGAAGAAGAUCCAUGUUUUAAGGCUAUUAAUCAUUUGUGAUACAGGUUGCAAAUAUUUUUUCUCUUUUAAUUUUUUCUCUGUCCUUCUAAUGUUUUGCGUAGGUUUUCAAAAACCCACCUGGAGGUGUAGCUGCUGGAGACACCUGUAGUUAUUUCUGAUGCAGUCUAUUCGUUCAAACUUGUUACUUCUCAGAUAAAUUCCAGGCUUGGUGCAGCAGCCCUGCUGACCUCUGACCUGACUUGUCUCUGUGCAACAAUCCUGUGUAGCUGUUGGCCGCCGUGAGUUAUAUCCUCACAUCACCUCACUUGUGUAGAGGCCCUUGGGGCCGUUCCCUGCCUCUGACAGCUUUGGGCAGGGACCAGAUCUCGCUCAUGCCUCUGAUACCUGUUCCUGAACCCAGGUGCGGAAUGAUGCUUAAAAGGUGGGGAAAGCCUGGUGUAUUGGCCGUGCCUCCUGGAAAACUGGGAUGUUGAGGGUGUUGACCCAUGAUAGUGGGGUUGCGUGUCCUAGCCACCCGAAGACACAGGGAUCUAAAACUCAGGGGUAGCAGGGGGAAGGCUGAGCCUUGAUUUGGGGCCAGGGUCAGGAUGAGCUGCUGCUGGUCCUCUGGCAGCUGAAUCGCGGGGGGCAGAUAUGCGGAACUAGAAGCAAGAUCAGCCACUCAUCGGACACUUACGCAGUGCCCGUCGCUGUGCUGGGCGCCUCAGCUGGCUUGUAGUGUUUCAUCCCUGCAGCAGCUGUUGUGUGAGUUCUGCAGAUGAUGAUCCGACCCGGGGGCCCCUCGGAAAAGGCCAUUACAAUGGGUGUUUGCAACAGUAGGGACGCAUUCUGCGGUUUCCUGGCCCGGAGUGGUCGUGGGUCUCCGGUGACCUGGCCUUCGCUACGCUGUUUCCCAGAGCGAUUUCAAAUAGCCCUUCUCUGCACAGAGGCCACUGUUCACUACAUUGAGGAGGUUGCAGUUACUUUCUGAAUUUGAGGAUGUAGGA